rnacentral:sRNA from 1 species
UUGUUAGGCCUGAAGCACGUGUUAUUUUUGAAAUACACAAAAUGUAACAAGGGGCGCUCUUGUUUGGUACGUCGAUCUUUCCAGUGACACUUAGCCCAUUGAGGAUGAAAUAGUUCCGUCCGAGAGGAAAUCUAAACCGGGGGGUAGACCAGAAAUUAAUCAUAGAUUUCCUUUCUUUUUAUUAUAUAUUUUUUUUGUUUUUCAAUUAGAAGGGGAAAUAGAAGACACAAAAAUGUUUUUAUCGAGAUGUAGUGCUAUAUUGUUUGUGAUGUGUCUAAGCAUCGGAGAAAUUUCUUCACAGGGAAACCAAAGAACCUCAAGCUCUCACAGACGAGUAUCAGCGAAUGGCAGACCUUUCGAAAUUGUCCAAACCAGGGAUGGGCGGCGAGUGCUGGUUUUCUUGGAGGAAGGUGGAGGCAGACGACAAGUUCAGACAUUGUCUCCACGGAGCCUCGAUGUCGCUGAAACUUUCCCGCCAAAUCCAGACUCGUUAUCACAGAGACAGCGGGAAGGUCUCGAGAGCUUACGAAGAAACUUAGCACGGCUUGUACGGAGACGUACGAACUGGAACAGGUACACAGUAAGUCGUGGCCGGGACGGGGUUCCCGAUUUGGAACGAAGAAGAAGUAGUCGUCAGAGGGCACUUUCAAGAGACGACGCAAUUCACAUGCUUCGUGUCCUCAAUCGGUAUCUCUCUGGAAACCUCGUAACAACAUCUCAAACAACGAGAUCUGCAGCGACUUCUGCUUCCUCUUUAUUCACUUCAAUGAUGACGCCACCGGUAACGUCAACUUUAAGGAGAAGUUCCACAACUAUACACCCAUCAUCAUCAACGCGCACCACAACAAUACGACCUGUUUCUUUAGUGACGUCACCAAGACCGACGACGUCACGGCUCACUACGUCAGAACAGAUGCUGACAACACUCAGGGAAGAGGAGCAAAAAAUCAUUCGAAUGUUGCAAACAACUACCUCACCUACAACAAGCUUGUCGACCGACACCGGAAUAACAAGUAGCCUUAAGGAAAAAGAAAGACAACUCAUCCAGGAAUUAGCUAAUUUAGAGCGGACAACUUUAUUGCCCCCGACUACGCAAGUGAGACAGACGUUGCCUCCUCGAGAAUCCACGCUCAAUGAAACAAGAAACGAAAUUGCUAAGAUAAAACUAGAUCUUCAGCGUGUGAAAACUGCUCUUCUCCAAAGACUUCGAAGAGGAGAUCUAACAAACGAGCGCAAUACCCAAAGGAGGUCGGAAUUUUCUCGACUUCGAAACAUGGAACAAAGCCUUACUAAUCAGUUGCAAACGCUGCAGACGAGGUUGAACCAGAUGAUUACACGUGACCGCCGUAUUCGACCAAUCACAAAGAGUAGCAGGGAUGAGGUCAUGAGGUCAACUGAGAUGAUAAUGAACCAACAGCGUUCCGGGACGAUUUCUAAUCCUGUCAACCAAAUGGAUGCAAACUCCCGACUUGAAAGCGUGUUGCAGUCUUUGGAGAAGACGUUAAGUGGAGGAGACCAGUUACUGCUUAUCCGAGUCUUAGGAGAAAUAGAACGAGGCGUACAAAUAAACGAAAACAACGCACAAAUCAGUCUACUCCUAGACAAACUGAAAUCGGUGAUGACAAAUGCCGAUUUUACAUUUAUAAGGAGUCUUAUCUUAGGAGAUCAAAGCAAUGUAUCGUCGACUCUUGUGAGGAAUGAACCACAAAAUAACUCUCCCUCAGCCGUUUCAGGCGGCCCUUCUUCAUCUACAUUCCACACAGAAGACGUAGAUAAGAUAGCACACGUCGUUCAAACCAACUUCCAGCCUCAAGAGCAAGAGAUCAUCAUGAACCUCUUCUCGGUAGAUCAUCAGAGUAACUCACACCUUCUUCAACAUCCAUCCGUGCAACCGAUUCUUCAAAAACUGCAGCAGCUGUUAUCUUUUUCAGAAUACAAGACGUUUGAAAGUCUUAUGAACGGACAAACUGAUCCAAAGCAACACAUGGAAAGUAAUGUUAUAUCGAACACGAAUGUACAAACACCGCAACCAUCGCCACAAUUAGUACAGCAUUUACAGCAUUCAUCAAACAUCGUGCAACAUCCGCAACAACAAAACCAGCAACUACAGCACAUGCAACAACAGCAGAUACAACAACAGCAAAUACAACAACAACAAAUGCAACAGCAACAAAUGCAACAACAGCAAAUGCAACAACAACAGUUGCAACAACAGCAAAUGCAACAGUUAAAUGCAUUAAGCAACCUCUCUCCAUCCACAUCUGAGUUUGUUGGCCAACAGACCAUGAUUCAACACCAGAACCAAAUACCACUGCAACAAUCCGCGCAUCUGGCUGGACAGGCAGCAUUACACCGAAUGAUGAAUCCAGCGAUGGCGGCGCAACGUUUACACGGUUUGGGCAUGAAUCCCAUGGGACUCCCUAUGUUUCCUCGUCUGCCGUCUGCCAUGAUGCAGGAACUUAUGUUUGGAGAUACAACAGAUCCACCGGAGAUUCCUACCCCGACCACUGCGGCUCCUGUUAUACAAGAAACGUUAGGAGUGCCAGGGAUAACAGAACAGGCUUUGAAAGUACCAGCGAUGGAUCAAAAGAUGCCAGAAAAUAUUCCUAUUACAACUUCGAACCCUGCUAAUCAUGUUGGUAACCAUUCGGUAGAUUUCACCUCACAUCUCUCGAACAUCAUGAAUGUGUUAAAGAAUUCUGGCAUGCCUAAGAACGUAAAGCUAGAGUUCCAUUUGCCACAAAAUACCAAGAAGGAAGACGCUAAAAAGACACAACCAGCUUUUGAAAAGAAGGAUGGAAAUUCAGCUAUCUUGUCCAAUACGUUACAAAUGGUUCAAGCACCGAAGAUUUUCCCGUACAAAGUGGGUCCCAAUGUUCAGACCGAUAGUAACUCGAAUUCUAAAGAUAACAUAGUUAUUAACAAUCACCAGUCACAAGUUUUCAUGCCUUUGAUACAUCCUCAAGAAAAUAACAGCAGCAGCAUACGGGUUCAGAUUCAUGACACCCAACCAAAAAACAAACCAGUUUUUGCUCUCACUCCAUCAAAAAAUCAAGUUAUCAUCCACAAUUCGAUGAAUGGCGUUCAGAGUCUUCCUCAGAAGACGCAAUUCGAUGCCAUUAGAGAAACCCCGAUUGUCUAUCAAAAUCCACUGCCUCCAGGAGGUAUAGCUAUUCAAAACAACAUUCCACAAAGCAGCAUGACCAUGAAAACUUCGAAUUUGAUAAAAACAAAAGCAGAGGAGGUGAGACCGUUUCCCCUUCGACAACCACCGAAACCACAAUCUGUAGAAGACUUGGAACAAUUCAAUAAAAUAAAUUUUCAAGUCCCGUUAAAGCAACUUGAAUCACAAACUUCAACUCAUGAUAUUGCGUCGCCAAACGAAAAUGAGCGCAAUCGAGUUCCCCCUAGACCGUCAGAUUCAACUUUUCACAUUCCAGACCUACCCGAAAGGAAUUUUAUCCCGUUAAGAAAACGUUUUUUAAGCAACUUAAGAAAUGAAAUAACGCCACCUAGCGAUCAAGAACGCAAUCGAAUUCCCCCCAAACCAUCGGAUUCCACAUUUCCUGUUCAAAAUGCAGACGACAACAACAUUAUUUCUCAAACUGUAAGAAAAGAGCCAUCUAAUAAUAUAUUAGGACCGAUUUCACUUCAAAAACUAUCGCUUCUAAACAGCCAGAAACAUGCAAAUUUAGAACACAAUAGACACCCCUCUUUGCCUAAUCCUGUAGGUUUCGUGAACGACAAAAUGGAAUCAAAAAGUUUCAAUCAAGGACCACUGAAUAACCAUAACAACCAGAACAUCAUAAAGUACAAUACGGAUUUCGCAGCCAACACACAUGCAAUGGGAAUCCCUGUUACUCUGCCUCCCCAGCAGAUGACGUCUUUCAGUGCUCCAACAACAAAUCAAUUCCUGCGCAAAGCGAACGAACAGACUAUGAAAUGGGAUGAAGUUACAAGUAAGAAGGUAGAGACAAGCGCCAACAACCAAAUCAAGAACAUAAUUAUGAACGCUGGCGGAAAUGUCCACACCUCGUUCUGGGAUACCUUGAUAGAGAAGACUACCAACAAAUCUGGACCUUCCUCUAAUUCUGUGAUAAAGAUUAACCUGGAUUCAAACAUGUUAAAGUCGCCAUUAUUUAAUACACAGCCAACAGUGAAUAAUAACAAUAAUAAUAAUGUUCCGAAAGUAGAAGAAGAGGAGGUUGAAGCAGAAGAUAUAACAACAACGACAACUACUACCACUACUACUACAAUGAAACCAAACGAGGAAUUCCGAAUGGAAAUCCAUACCAACCAAGACGGGGUGAGUAAAAUAAGCAUUAUUCCACAGUCAAGCCCGAGCGAAAGUAAAGCUUCAACACCCUGCAGUCCUUCGUCCGAAGAUUUCAACUGCUUUGGAAGGUCUCCAUUUGAUUCUGUGAAAUCUAUAGGAACGUGGUGUCUAGCAAAGUGCCUUCAAGGUUCAUGUAUAGAAACAGUGUGUAGCUGUUCUUGCGACAAGAAGCAACAUUCUACAACAUAUCAUUCUCAAGUGGAAAACAUGGCUUCUGCUCUUUCCACCGGGAAAAACACUGACUCUGGUCAAAUACAGUCAACGCUGAACGAGAUUUACUCCUCCCUAAGAGAAAAUACACAGUCGUCAUCGAACACAAAUAACGUUCAAUCACCAAUGAAUGGCAAUAACCAAAAUAAUCAGAAUCUAAAUACAAAUAAUAAUAACAACAACGGUCCAAAUUCUGACAAAAGUGACUCCAUGAACGUGCAAUUUUUAUUGCGUUCCAUUGAAGGUAUGAUUGAGAGUAAACUUCGCAUCAUGGCGCCAAGGACGACACCCAAACCGGAGGAAGAAGAAAUAGAAGCAGAGGACUUGCAGAAAACACCAGACCCCUCAAAUAACUGGAAUAACAAUGAAAAUCAAAACGGAAACAAUGCCCUAGUCCUUGGCAGAAUGGAAACUGGAAUAGUGGACCAAACAACUCGGGCUGGAAUGGACCUCCCCCGAAUUGGACUCAGGGACCGUGGAACAAUGGUGGAGGAGGCGGAUCCUGGGGUGGAGCUAAUAAUCAAUGGAAUAACUGGGGCGGAUCAGGAAACUGGAACAUGGCUUUUUCUCGCCGAAACCCAUGGCAGAGGCAUGGGGGAGGUGAAGGGGGCGAGGCAGCGGAUUAAACUGGAUUGGUGUCAGAAAAUCCAGGACAGUAAUAAUGGAAGAUAAAACUUAGUAGUGAAAAGGGCGAAAUGCAGGAUAUGAUUACUAGUACAUGUAUCCAAAAGGAGUAAGCACAGGAAGGUGAAAGGGGGAUAACUCUUGGAAAUAACUGUUUUGAGAGAUUUCCUCCAAUUUAUUCGCUCUGUUUUAUUCCGUUUCGUUGAAAAACCAGUGAAUGAUUAAUGAUCAAUUGAUUGAGUGUCUCUGCUGAUUUGCAAACCUUUUUCUCUAUAUUUUUAAAAUCCAUAGCUUUUCUGGACUUCUUGGUGCAUCGUUCAUCUUCGUCUCCCGAAC